UUUAUUACAUCUCGAUAGAGUUUUUAAAUGAUAUAUUUUGAUCAUUUUGGUCAUUACUUAAAAAAAAAAAAAAAUGUUAACAAUUUAUAUACAAAAUACUAUCAUUAACACUUAAAUAGUUAGAUAUCUGACUUGUAAUCACGACAAUUCAAUUACAAAAUAUAAAACUCUACGAACCGAACUAUAUCUACCUAAGUCGAGUGAAGUAUACAUCAAAUACUUUUUCUAUUUUCUUUCCAAUUGCAGCUAGGCUAUUAUGGACUUGAACUAGAUACAUCACUCAGUGAAAUAAAUAUCACACUUACGGUUUAAUUAAUUAGAAGAUAAUUAAAAAGUAAAAAAAUUUUACUUUUUUAUUCAACCAAACAUGUAUUAUUUAUUUGGAUUGGCUCGAGUCAGCGAACUUAAAUCCCGUUGUGAACAAAAGCGGUUUGAAUGGGCCGAUUCGGCUCAAACCGAGCCCCCUAGUCCCACAUAAUAAAAUUAUUUAUUUAUUAAAUUGUUGGCAAAUUAAUUGAACUGCAGAAGUCGAAGGCUAUAAAUUUCACGUUACGGCCAUGGAUGUAUGUACAGUCAAAACCCGCUUGUCCACGUGUCAAUUUUUUAUGGGCUGGGCUGCUGGGUGUACGGCGCAGAUUUGACAAAUUAAAAGCGCCUUACCAAAAAAGUCUUUCAUCAUUUGGAGCUUUCCGGUGUGUGUGAAUUUUUUUAAAGAGUUACGGAAAAUAAGGUUUGUAAACUAAUUAUUUGGAAACUUUUUCAGAAAAAAAAAUAAAUAAGAGUUUUUAAAUCUCUUCAAAUUCCUAUAAGUUCUUAUUGGGAUGAUUUAAAACAUUUAAUCAACAUUCUUAAGAGUUAAAUUUAAUAAAUAUACGCACUUAUAAUAGCAUUACUAUAUUAUUAAUAGCGAAAUUAAAAUUUAAUUUAUUAGUAUGUUAAUAGAAUUUUAACGACUAAUUAUGAAUAAGUUUCACUAAAUCUAUUACCUUUAUGAUCCAAAUAAACAUUUUGACAAUUAUGUUUAUUUAGUUGAAUAAUCGUAAUAAAUUAAAAACUCAAUAUAAUAUUUUUAUCAUUAAAACAAAAUUGUAUUAUUGAUAGUUAAGAUUAUAAAAUUAAACUUUUUUACACCCUAAAAACUUAUUAACAUAAACAUAUUCUUAAAUUAUAGUGUAAAUUAAUUAAUGUUAUAUGUAUAAUUAAAUUUACUAUUUGUAAAAAUAUUACAGUAUGAGAUUUAUAUAAGGUAUUGGAUAUAUAUAUAUAUAUUUGAAAUAAUAGUUAGGAAACUUAAAAAAUAGAACGAAUGUUUGAUAUCAAAAUCAUGGUCAUUGAAGGACCUCCAAAUUAUUAAAAAUUUAAAUUUGAAAAAAUUCAAAUUAAAUAUAUGUGUAUUAAAUUUUUUUAAACAUUCAAGAUAUUUAUAUGUUUAAAUUAACAAUAUCAUAUUAUAUAACCUAUUGAUUAAAUCACAUAUAUUGAAAUUAAUGAAAUAAACCAACAUCUUUAAAUAUCAAAUUUAAUUUCUUUGGGGAUUUGAUUAAUAUAUUACAUUAAAUAAUUAAAUCUAUAGUAUAUAAUUUUUAUAAUGUAAUGUGAUAUGCAAAUAAAUAUAUAAAGUAGUAAUAGUAAUAAUAUAAGAGAUUGAAAAAUUAUGUACACGAUUUGAUAGAUUUCUAAAAUUUAAGUGUAAUUGGCUACAAUUUACUUGUCAAGUACACAACUACAAAAAUAAAAUUAUUAAUUAAAUCCUCAUGUCCUGUAAAUUCAAAAAAUGUAUAAAUGUGCGGCAACUUAUUGAAUUAAAAUUGGCCCAACCACCAACUAGCCCAUCACCCGACUUUCAUACUUCUACACACUCUCCCCUCCAGCUCUCUCACUAUAUAACACCCAGCCGAGCCCUCAUCUUUCCUCACAAGGCAUAGAUCAGAAAGAAGAAAAGAAAAAAAGAGUGAGGAAUUCAGAGAUAAGCAUGGCGAUCGUGAAGUUGGCUUUUGGUUUGGUGUUGUUUAUGGUAGUGGCUGGGGCUCUUACCAGCGAGGCUCUGACGUGCGGCCAAGUAGCGUCUGCGCUUGGGCCAUGUCUCACUUACUUGCAAGGCCAAGCUGGUAAUUCUCCGCCGGCAGCAUGCUGCGCCGGUGUCAGGAACCUUAACAGCGCAGCCCAAACGACGCCGGAUCGAAGAGCCGCUUGCCAGUGUCUGCAGAAUGCGGCCAGGUCUACCAACUUUGAUCAGAACAUUGCUGCUAGUCUUCCCGGUCAAUGCGGCGUCAGCAUUCCCUACAAGAUCAGCACCAGCACCAACUGCAACACGUAAGUACUCAAAUCUUUAAUAAAGAUAUAUAUAUAUAUAUAUAUAUGUACAUAAAUAUAUAUGAACGGUCCAUUGUGUAUCUAAUUUUCUUGAUUUGCUUGUUUUUGUGGUGCAGAAUCAAGUGAAGAAAUCGAGUUGACAUGAGAAGAGAUUAGCAGAGCAUGCAUGCAUCGUCAUAAAAUAAUAAUAAUAAUAAUAAUAAUAAUAAUAAUAAUGAAAAAAAAACAAGAAUAAAGGCAGAUGCGACGUCGUUCAUGAAAGUUUCAGAGCCGAUGUAGAUGCGACGUCGUUUAUGAAAGUUCAGAGCUGACGAGUCACUCUGUAUUGCUCAUAUAAUACUUACGCUGUAUCACGUAUGACCGGAUGUAUGCUAUGGUUGAGAUGAGUUUUAUAGCUAUAUAAUCUUUACUUGAUUAUUCUCCUUCUUUUUCCUCCUCUUUCAUUACAACUUUAUCUCCUUUUUUUUUUCCUUUAAGAAAGUUUAACCCAAAUUUAGAAUAAAUAAAUAAAUAAAUAAAUAAUUAUAUACAUAAUUUUUAAUAAAUACAUAUCGAAUCCACAAUUAAACUCGAAUUAACUCAAAAUUUAACCAUUGAUAUGGGAUUUUACAUGGAUUGAGCGUUGGAUGGUACUUAGGGUUAAAAUAAUUGGAUUAUUAAUUAUAAGUAAUAUUAUUUUUAUUUUAAUAUAGUAAAGUUGUUAAUUAACAAAAAAAUAAAUAUAACAAAUAUAUGAAUUGAAAAUAUUAUUGACCUCGUUUAAAUUAUUUAUAAAAAAUAUCCAUCUCUAACUUUCAAUAUAUAUAUAUAUAUUAAAACUAUACUUUUAUCUAAUAAUAUUUUGUAUUUUUGGCCAAAAUUCAUCUUUCUCUAAAAAUUGGAAGAAAAAUGUUAUCUUGUUUAUAAAAAGUUUGUUAUGUCUCCGUGGAGUCUUUUCAAUUGUAUAUUUCUAUCAUAUUCGUUAUUGUUUAUGAAAAUUGAGUCACCUAUUAAAAUACGAAAUAUUAUUAUUAUUGUUGGAAUAAUUAAAUAUCCAAUGCGUAAUCACAAUAACUUAAUUGUAUAAAUGAAGUUAUACCAACUAAGUUACAUAUACCUAAGCCAAGCAGAGCAUGCGUGGAGUCAAGAGGCUUCUUCUAUUAUUAUUAUUAUUUUUAUUAGCGCAAUCGGAUCACUUUAGAAUUAAAUUAAAUACAUAAAUUAUGACACUUACGAUUCAAUUAAUUGGGAGAUGAUCAAUCAAUAAACCUCUUCGAUGAGCGACUCAUCNNNNNNNNNNNNNNNNNNUUUGGAUCGAGUAAGCAGAUUUAAUCCCAUUAUGAACACAACCGGAACGCUGCCUUACAAGUUAGAAUGGGCCGAUCCGGCUCGAACCGAGCUCCUGGUCCCGCAUAAAAAUUUUUAUUAUUUAUUUUUUUAUUAAAUUGUUGGAAAAUUAAUUGAACCGCGGAAGGUGGGAAGGCUGUAAAUAACAUGUUACGGGCACGGAUGUACUCGCCCGUCCACGUGUCAACAUCUUAUGGGUUGGAGCUUCCCAGUGUGUUUUCAGAUUUUUUAAGGAGUGAUCAUUUUGAAACUUUCUCAGAAAAAUAAAGUAAAUAACUAAUGGGUUAAUAAAGACUGUAUGAGAAACCAAUAGUAAUGAAUUUGGUGCUAUCAAAGUUUGGCACCGAUCUGGAUUUGGUACUGACAUUGCACGUUAUUAGGUGUAAGGAGGGUGACAUAGUUGGAUAUGUGGCGUACCAACAUCAUGCACGUGGAAUACAUCCUAAAAGGUCCAAAAAGUGUUUUUGUUUUUUUAUUAAAAAAAAAAAAAUAGUUAAAUAUUGAUUUGCCACGUGUAUCAUCCGGUCCUAUAAAUUCCAAAUUUUAAUUAAUGUCCGUCGAUUUAUUAAAUUAAAAUUUCGACAACAACCAACUAACUCACUCUUUUUUCUCAUCACUCGAACUUUCGUACUUCUACACACUUUCCACUCCCUCUCUAUAUAAUACCCUGCACAGCCCUCGUCUCUCCUCACAACUCGGGAAAGAGAGAGAAAAAAAAAAAAGAGUGAGGAAUUCGGAGAUAAGCAUGGCGAACGUGAAGUUGGCUUGUGGCCUGGUGUUGUUUGUGGUGGUAGCUGGGGCUCUGACCACCGAGGCUCUGACUUGCAGCCAAGUAGCAUCUGCUCUGGGGCCAUGUCUCGCUUACUUGCAAGGCCAAGCUGGUAAUUCUCCGACGGCAGCAUGCUGCGCCGGUGUCAGGAGCCUUAACAGUGCAGCCCAAACGACACCGGAUCGGAGAACCGCUUGCCAGUGUCUGCAGAGUGCGGCCAAGGCUACCAAAUUUGAUCUCAGUAUUGCUGCUAGUCUUCCCGGCCAAUGCGGCGUUAGCAUUCCCUACAAGAUCAGCACCAGCACCAACUGCAACACGUACGUACUACUCUUCUUUUUUCUAUUUAUUUCCUUUUAUUCCAAAAAUUCAUAUAUAUAUAUAUAUAUACUGUAUUUAUGCUUGUAUUUAUACGUACGACCCUUUUUAUCUCUAAUUUUCUGAUUAAGUUUUCAUUUGUGUUACAGCAUCAAGUGAAGAAAUUCAUACGAUAUCGCAGGAGAUUACAGUAGCGUGCAUGCAUCGUCAAACUAAUAAAAAUAAAAAUGCCGAGUCUGUCUGUCUGUCUGGGUCUUAUAAUUUAUCCACUGUAGUUUUUCUUUUUUGAAGGAGUAUAAUUUUCUUCUACUUGUACUUUGAUCACGUGCAUGUGAUCUGUACGUUGUGUGCUACCAGCUUAGCUUCAUAAACUUUUACUUACUUCUCCUAAUACCCAAUUAUAAGUAAUUUUUUCUUUUCUUUUCUUUUCUUUCAAUUAUAAUAAUUACAUUUAUUAAUUAAAUAAUACACAAAUAUGCUCAAAUGAUAAAUACAUCUCAUUUAAACACAUGAUUUCUUACAGAAAAAAAUAUAUAUAUCAUCAUUACGUAAUAUAACAAAAUCCACAAUUAUUUUUAUCUCAAAUAAUAUACUACUAUAUAUUAUGAUAAAUUAUUCAAAAUUUUUCCUGAUAUUUAUGUUAAUUAUGUAAUUUCUAAAAUAUAAAUAUUAAUUUGAAUUAUCGAUUAAUAUUUAUUUUAAUAAUUUUAAAUUUUUUAAUUAAUAAAAAGUAAGUACGAUCAAAUUAUUCACGUCAAAAUAAAUUAUUUAUCAAAAAUACCUGUCUCUAACUUUUAAUUUUAUUUCUUAAAAUUUAUAGGACUUAUGUUUACAUUUUUUUUUAUUUUUUAAUAUUUAAUCAAAUUUUUUAUUUUUUAAUAGUAAAUAUUGGAAUUAAAUAAUAAUAAUAAAUUAAGAAAAUAAAAAAUAUAAAUAGAUACUGAUAAAAUUUUCUUAUAUAAAUUUUUGAACCAACUAUUCAGCAUUUAAGUACGCAAAUCAUUUAAAAAAUAAUCACAUAUCCUUUGUAAAUUAUAUUUAACACUUUGAUAAGUAGAAUCUAUAUAAAUGAAAUUCAACACUUAAUAUUUUCCUAAGUGAUUUGUAAAAUUCUUAUAAAACGAGGUUAAAUACUUAUAAGCUUCCUGUAUGUAAUAAAUAAUCCAAAUUAAUUAAAAAAAAAAAAACAUGUAAAGUUUUUUGAAACAUGUAUUAUUUUUUGGACCGGGUCGAAUUAAUUAUCCCAUUACGAACACAAUCAGAACGUGGCCUUACCGGUUUGAAUGGGCCGAUCCGGCCCAAAACCAAGCUUGUGAUCCUAUGUUUGUUUAUCUAUUUAAAACCCUGGCAGGUGUCAAAUGUUGGCAAAUUAAAAUGACAGAUGGAGGGCUGUAAGGAAACGUGUACUACUGCUCGUCCACGCGUCGAUAUUUUAUUGGUAUACAGAAAAAAAAAGCGCCCUAACUAAAAAGUCUUUCAUCAUUUGGAGCUUUCCGGUGUGUUUGAAUUAUUUAAAAAAGUUACUGAAAAUAACUAUAUGGAAAUAUUUUUCAGAAAAAAUAAAGAAAAGUAAAUCUAUUCAAAUUCCUAUAAAAUGAGAGGAUUUAAAGCAUUUAAUAAAUAUUUUUAAAAUUUAAAUUUAAUAAAUAUUCGUACUAACAAUGAUAUAAUUAUAUUAUUAAUAUAAUUAUAUUACACUUAUCAUAUUACAUUACAUAUCAAUAAAUUCAAGUAUUCUGCAUAUUAAAUUUUUAAACAUUUAAAAUAUUUAUAUAUUUAAAUUAAUAAUAUCAUAUCACAAGCAAUGGUUAAUCACAUAUAUUGAAAUCGAUAAAAUAAACAACGCGUUUAAUAUAAAAUUAUAUUUUGUCAUUGAUUAGUAUACUUUAAUUAAAUAAUUAAAUUAAUAAGAUACUUUUUUAUUAUUUAAAGUAAUAAUAAAAAUAAUUAUAUAUCAUGAAAAUAUAAAACUAUUAUGUUAAAGAUAAUUAUUUAUUUGUACAAAAUAAACAAUUACAGGUUUUUAUACGUUUCAUUUAAAAUGGGAAAAGAUAGAUUGACCGUUCGCCAACCUGAAAAUUUAUGUGCAUAUCUCCCUACAAUUUACUCGUAAUUUACGUAAUAAAAUUGUUAGUCAAAUAUUGAUUUGCCACGUGUACCAUUCUUUACUGUAAGUUCCAAAUAUUAAUUAACAUGCGUCAACUUAUUAAAUUAAAAUCGGUCCAACCCCCGACCAACCCAUUCUUUUCUCAUCACCCAACUUUCAUACUUCCACACAGUCUCCGCUCCAGCUCUUCCUCUAUAUAACACCCUGCCCACCCUCAACAACUACAAAUCAAAAGGAGAAAAAAGGAGUGAGGAUUUCGGAGAUAAUAAUGGCGAACGUGAAGUUGGCUCGCGGGUUGGUGUUGUUUAUGGCGGUGGCUGGGGCGCUGACCAGCGAGGCUCUGACUUGCGGCCAAGUAGCAUCUGCGCUGGGACCAUGCCUGACUUACUUGCAAGGCAAGGCAGGUAAUUCUCCGCCGGCAGCAUGCUGCGCCGGUGUCGGGAGUCUUAACAGUGCAGCCCAAACGACACCGGAUAGGAGAACCGCUUGUCAGUGUCUGCAGAGUGCGGCCAAAGAUACCAACUUUAAUUCCAACCUUGCUGCUAGUCUCCCCGGCCAAUGCGGCGUCAGCAUCCCUUACAAGAUUAGCACCAGCACCAACUGCAACACGUGCGUACAACUCUUAUUUUUUCUUACUCAUAUAAAUAUAUAUAUGUACGCGUACAACCUUUUUAUCUCUCAUUUUCUUAUAUCUGGUUGCUCUUGAUUUGCAGCAUCAAGUGAAGAAAUUUAGUUGAUACGGCAGGAGAUUGCGGUAGCAUGCAUGCAUCGUCAACAUAAUAAAAACAAAAAUGCUGAGUCUCUCUGGCUCUUAUAUAAUCUUCCGCUGUAUUUUUUUUUUUUCUUUUUCGAAAGAGUAAAAUUUUCUACUGCUUGUAUUUUCGUCACGUGCGUAUGAUCUGUAUGUUGUGGGCUAAUAAACUUUUACUUAGUUCUCCUAAUAUUCGAGUAUAAUCAAUUUGAUAUAUUUUUUUAGUAUAAAAUAGUAUAUUUAAUAAUUUAAAAAAAAUACAUAGAUACAUUCAAACAGUAACACAAUUUUAUUGUUACUUUAUAUUUUAUUAAAAUAAAUUAAUAUACCACUAUUAUAUAACAUAAGAGUACCCAUAAUUAUUUUAUCCCAACACAAUAACACAAAUAAUAUAAUACCAUAUACAUUUAUUCACAAUUUUUAUAAUAUUUAUUUAUGUAAUUUUGAUUAUUUCAUUUUAAAAAUAUAAUUUAAUUAUUUAAAUAAUUCAUAAUAAAUUUUAUUAGUAAUAAAUAAAUAUUAUUAUGUUUUUUUAACUUAUGAUUUCAAAUGUUAUAAAUAUAUUGAUUUAUGAGUUGCGGGCAUUCUUCUUUGAUUGUCGAACAUUUAUUUCNNNNNNNNNNNNNNNNNNNNNNNNNNNNNNNNNNNNNNNNNNNNNNNNNNNNNNNNNNNNNNNNNNNNNNNNNNNNNNNNNNNNNNNNNNGGGUAUUUAGCUUUCCUUCCACCUCGACAGAAGGGGGGAAAAGUCAACAAGAGCGGCUAUCAAGUGUGUGCCAUAGCCUCUUUUCCUUCUUCUCCAAGAAAACCAUUACUACAAAGACAACUGAAUCCAAUAGACGGAGGACAAAUUUAAGAACGGCAAACACAAAGAAUCCGCCAUGAAAAACCACCACGUCCUUCUUCUAGCCUACGCGGCUCAAGGACAUUUAAACCCAUCCCUACAUCUCGCUAAGCGGAUAAUCGCCGCUGGUGGCCGAGUCACCUUCGCCACCACCGUCUACGGCCUCCGGCGAAUUAAAUCUCUCCCUUCCAUCGACGGCUUAUCUUACGCCUCCUUCUCCGACGGCUUCGACGAUGGAUACCGCCCCAAAGAGAGUUCUACCAGUGCCAACAUCUCGGAUUUCCGUACUGUUUCGAGACAAUCCAUCAACGAUUUAAUCCAAACCCUCUCCGAUGAGGGCCGCCCUGUUUCUUUCUUGAUCUACAACAUCGUCCUUCCUUGGGCUGGUAGCCUCGCCGCCGCCAUGUCCAUACCUUCUGCUUUCUUAUGUACGCACUCUGCAACUGUGUUCGCUAUCUACUACCAUUGUUUUAACACCCAAAAUGGAGUUUACGUCAGGAACAAAGAUUGUGAUGAGAAGGUAAACGAGCCUCCGAGCUUAAUAGAGAUUGAGGGGUUACCUCCAUUUUCUCGUCAAGAGCUACCUUCGUUUCUCCUCCCAAGUGAUCCAUACCAUUCGCUUGUCUCCACCUUUGAAGAACACAUCCGGGUAUUAGAAGAAGACCCGAACCCAUGUAUCCUUCUCAACACCUUCGAUGCUCUAGAACAAGAUUCAAUCAAGGGAAUUCGAUUUAACGGCGCCCGACUCUUCGCCAUUGGACCACUGCGUCAGUCAGCUUCUCCGGACAACAAGAACCCUACACCUGCAGAUAAGUUACUUCGCUGUGAUUUAUACGACAGUUCAAAGGAAUAUACUAACUGGUUAAGCUCAAAGCCUGACCGCUCGGUGGUAUACGUAUCUUUCGGCAGCCUUGCGACGCUGAAGAAAAAUCAAAUGGAAGAGAUCUUUAAUGGACUUUUGAGCAGCGGUCGGCCAUUCUUGUGGGUGAUUCGACCACCGAAAGACGGAGAAGAGGGAUUUGAGGAAACGAUAAAGGAUAAGUUAAAAGAAGAAGAAGGGCUGAUAGUACCGUGGUGUGCCCAAACGGAUGUACUGGGACAUACUUCAGUCGGCUGUUUCGUGACGCACGGCGGAUGGAAUUCGACGACGGAGGGGUUGACGUCGGGGGUUCCGAUGGUGGUGUUUCCGCAGUUUUCAGAUCAGAUAACGAAUGCGAAAAUGGUGGAGGAGGUGUGGGGUUGUGGAAUCAGGGUGAGAGUGAAUGAAGAAGGAUGUGUGGAGAGGGAGGAGAUAAGGAGGUGCGUGGAGAUGGUGAUGGGAGAAACAGAGAGAGGCGCGACGGUGAGAAUGAAAGCGGAGAAAUGGCGAGCUUCGGCUCUUGCGGCGGUCGGAGACGGUGGCUCGUCUGAGGAGAAUUUCGAAGCAUUCAUUGAAAGGUACUUGCCGAGUUAGGAUAGGCUGCAAGUGUAGUCAUUUUCUCCCCCUCGAAAGUCUUCUUGAAAGAAAGAACAUUUCAUCAAAAUUGAUAAUGAAUUUUUAAAUAAUGUAAUAAAUACAAAUAUAUUUUAUAUUUAGUGGGAUUAUAUUCUCACAUGUCUUAUUAUUUUUAUGCAUUAUACGUUUUUAAGUAUAGGAUGUAACACCACUUGGUGUUUUAUGACCCAAGGCAUUAUUAUACUCAAACUUCUUCUUCAUGCAAUAAUCCAAACUAAAUAUUUUCUAUGCAUUACAAUCAUCAAGUAGUUUAUCUAACAAAAUUUUCACAACUGGGUUUACAAUUUUACUAUAUUAAAGUAACAAGUGAAAAAGACUUGGAAAAAAUUUGUAUUUACUAAAGAGACAAUAAAUGAAUGGAUAUCUCGCAUANNNNNNNNNNNNNNNNNNNNNNNNNNNNNNNNNNNNNNNNNNNNNNNNNNNNNNNNNNNNNNNNNNNNNNNNNNNNNNNNNNNNNNNNNNNNNNNNNNNNNNNNNNNNNNNNNNNNNNNNNNNNNNNNNNNNNNNNNNNNNNNNNNNNNNNNNNNNNNNNNNNNNNNNNNNNNNNNNNNNNNNNNNNNNNNNNNNNNNNNNNNNGGCUCCUCCGAUACUAGUGGGGCCACACACGGCCACUCAUCGGCCUUAAUCUAGCCACACACACACCCUCACCAGCCUUAGUCAGCCAUAUACACGACCAGACCGGCCUUAAUUUCUACCACACCAGAAUCAGCUUCACUCAGCCACAUACCCACACACACCGGCCUUCACUUGUCCACACACACGCACACACCAGCAGUAUACAGCCACACACACGCACACACCAAUAGUAUACAGCCGCACACACACACACACACCGACCUUCACUCGGCCACGCCCACACCGGCCUUCACUCGGCCACACACACACACACAUCGGCCUUUACUUGGCCACUCACACACACACACACACACACACACAAGCAGUAUACACAUACUACAUUACUCAACCAGAAUGUCACCGCAAAAUACACAUUACACUCACCCCUACCGGUCUCGAUUCGGCCACACACACUAUCAUACACUAGCACCAGUACCGGCGCCACAACCUCCCUCUCUACCGUCGCCAAUAUCGGUGCACCAGCAUUUACCUCCACCGGUACCAAUAUCGGCACCUCACCAGCAAAAUCGACCCCAAAUCUCGCGAUACAACUCGGCCUAACUCCAUUUCGGCAGACUCCCUUCCUUCUCCCUCACUUCCACUCGAUUCACUCACCAUUCCUCAUCUCUCUACUUCCUCACAACUCGAAAUCCUCCAUAUUAACAACCUGAAUAGAAAUCCAAACCAUAUCACCAUAUCAACGUCUGAGUAUCUGAAUUUAUUUACCUCUAGCCUCCAUCUCCUCCUAGUUCGGUAAGAUCGUUUUCACUCGUACGCUUCUUCAAACUCCGCUAUCUAUCUCUCUUUCAACUUCUUCACUCUCCCUCCUUCCUCGUCGACUGGCCUCUCCCACUCUUCCCUUUUUUUCUUUUUUUUUUUUUUUUUUUCUUUUCUACUCUCUUUUUAUAUACUCAUUUCCCCAUCAAAUCCUAACCGUUCAUCCUAGCCCUCUAAUCCUCACCACUCGUUUGUUUGACCCUCCUCCACUUUGACCCUGCUAAAGUAUUACAUAGGACUUGUCAAUUUACCUUCAUUUAUAGGACUAAAUUUGAAAUAAACUUAAAAAUUAUAUAAAUUUUAUUUAUAACUUACGUAUAAUUUAACUACGAUAAAAAUAUAAAUCGUAAUAAGAUAAUAAAAUAUUUAAAUACAUAUAACAUUUUAUCUAAAAU
rnacentral:lncRNA from 1 species